rnacentral:lncRNA from 1 species
CACGCAGUCAGCUUCUGAUGGCAGAUCUGACUUGAUCUCCUUCUUCGAUCACCUCGAAUAUUUUCGAUGUCGAAGAUGGAUUAGAGAAGGAUGCUGAAUGGUGGAGAAAAUUUGGAUGAAAACUCUCUUCUCUUUGAUUUUUUCCUCACCCAAAAAUCUAGAACAGUUCUAGGUCUCUCACCCAAGAGGAGAACGGUCUCCUCUUUUGUUCACGCC